rnacentral:rRNA from 1 species
GACGUAGGGCGCAAGCGUUGUCCGGAUUUAUUGGGCGUAAAGAGCCCGUAGGCGGCUUGUUGCGUCGUCCGUGAAAACCCGCGGCUCAACCGCGGGCUUGCGGUCGAUACGGGCAGGCUGGAGUUCGGUAGGGGGAGACUGGAAUUCCUGGUGUAGCGGUGAAAUGCGCAGAGUAUCAGGAGGAACACCGGUGGCGAAGGCGGGUCUCUGGGCCGAUACUGACGCUGAGGAGCGAAAGCGUGGGGAGCGAACAGG